rnacentral:tRNA from 1 species
UGGGUUGUGGCUGAGUGGUAGAGUGCUUGCCUAGCAUACAUGAGGCUCUGUGUUCAAUCCUCAGCACCACAU